UUUGUUUUAACUACACAAAAGAUACUGUAAAGUUCCAUGUCAAGAAUGAACAAUCCCCCUACUGAUCGAACUAUUGAGAGUCAACUUCCCAAAUUCAAGAAAGCUUGAAGCUUUUCUUCGUCCAAUUCAGCUAUGGCCAUAUCUCUUUGCUUCUCUCCUCUCACUUCAACCCCAAAACACUAUUCAAGAAUCCCCCUUUAUAAACCCAUCAACCCCAUUACCACUUUAACAACUCCAAAGAUUUUAAAUCCCAAUUUCAAGAAAGUAAAUUGUGUUCCUGAAAAUUUUCAGAAUCUUUCUGUGAUUCAAGAAAAACCCAGAUGGGAAAACUGGGUGUCAAUUGCAGAAAGUCUUUAUCCUGUUUAUGUAACCGUUGGUGGGGUUGUUGCCUGCUUAAAGCCCUCAACUUUUCUUGGUUUGUCAAGUGUGCUCCUACUUCCUAUAGUUUGGGUCUUUGGUUUAUAAUGCUUGCUAUGGGUCUUACAUUGGAGAUCAAAGAGUUAACUAACUUGUUAUUACAAAAGCCUCUUUCUAUUCUGUUUGGUUGUGCUGCUCAAUAUACUAUUAUGCCAACCUUGGGACUGAUUCUCAGCAAAAUCUUGGGUCUGCCUCCUUCAAUUUCAGUUGGUCUAAUAUUGCUUGCCUGUUGCCCUGGAGGUACAGCGUCUAACGUGGUAACCUUAAUUGCACAAGGAGAUGUCCCAUUAUCAAUAGUGAUGACAGCAUGCACUACAAUUGGUGCAGUGGUUCUGACUCCCUUGUUGACAAUGAUUCUGGCAGGAACUUAUGUUCCUGUGGAUGCUGUUAAGCUUUCUAUCAGCACUCUCCAGGUUGUGGUUGCUCCAAUUCUACUGGGUUCUUAUUUGCAGCACAAAUUUCCGAAAGCUGUGAAAAAAAUUACACCUUUUGCUCCCCUUCUUGCAGUCUUAGCUAUAUCUCUUGUUUCUGCCAGUGUAUUCUCUGAAAAUGUUGGUCGUCUAAGAUCUUCUGUGGUUGGCAUGUCAUUCUCUUCUGAUUUGCCUCUACUCGGUCGUGCUCAGAAUGUGCUAGCUAGCGAAUUCGGACUCGUUGCGGUGUCUGUUGCAUCGCUUCAUUUUGCUGGUUUCUUUGUUGGGUAUCUAUCUGCUGCUUUGGCCGGUUUUAGCGAGCCUCAAAGACGAGCUGUAUCCAUCGAGGUGGGCAUGCAAAAUUGCACCUUGGGUGUGGUUUUAGCGACCUCCCAUUUCUCUUCACCAGGAGUUGCAUUACCUGCUGCAACUUCAGUUAUCAUUAUGAACAUAAUGGGUAGUUGUUUAGGUUUCUUUUGGAGAUGUAUUAACCCUACUCAACCAAAAAGUAGUCUCGAAGUGACUGAUAAAUCUUGAAUAUCAAUGUUGAACCAUAGUGUUCUUUUUCUUUCCAUGUGUACACCUAUCAAUAAAAUUUGUUUUCACCAUUCUCUGAGUUAGCUUAUGAGGCCCAAGCGACGUUGAAAACUCACCAAUUGCUUGCUGGACGAAUCUUUGUUGCUGAUCUAACUAUGGCUUUAUAACUAAGGUAUGUAAUUAUAAGACCUUCAUAAAACGCCUAGGAGUUCACUUUUGAACUUAACAAAGCUGUUUAUAUGUUGCACCAAGCUCUAGCUAUUCAUUGGUCUAGGAAAGGCAACACGAUAUUGAAUCUAUUGUAUCCAGUCUUACCUUGCAUUUAUGCAAGAGGUUGUUUCAAUGACUUGAACCCCUAACCUCAUGGUCCGUUGCAUCAGAACUCCCCUAGAAGUGAAAGUAUGUCUAGUACACAAUAGGGUAGGGACAGUUUGUGAAGGUAUAGGUAGAGCUACUGUUACUUCCAUCAAGUACGAUCCACUAGUUACAUUUUAUCUAGUGAGCUUAAUUCAAUGAAACAUAAUUUGGUGCUAAGUCAAAGAAGAAGAAUGCUAAAAAUGUCAAAAUGUGUGUGCAUUAUAUGCUAAAGAAUCCAUUCCUUUUCCACAUAUAUGCUUAGCAGGACUGUUUCAGGGCAAUUGUUCGACAAAUUGGACAGUAUGGUGUCUGUAUCAACCAUGAAUCAAUGCAUUUGAGAUGGAAACUGUGGUUGCAAUUUGUCAGCAAUCUGCAGUUUUCUCCUGUCUUGAAUCUUUCUAAGCACACAGCACAUUCCGAGAAAUGAAAUAUCAGGAGAACAAUUAUUCCCAAAGAAAAGAAGAUCACAGAUAUUAUAAUGCCCAUUAUGCACCAAAGAAACUUCCGCGCAAUCCUUGGUCAGAAUAUGGCGAAAAACAGAGAAGUUUUUGGAGAAAUGAUCAUACAUCAAACAACAUUGAUCGUUGCAAGGUACUAUGGAACAUGUUUUAAGUUUUCCUGAUUAGUUGUGUUUUUCGUCUAUAAUGGAAGUAGCUAGACAUGUAUUGUUUUGGUGCUACAGACAGACAAUAAGAGAAGGUUAAUCAUUAUGAAGGAAUAAAAUUAUUACUACUAAUUUGUCAAAACUUAAGCACAACAUAUACAGCUUAGCAAUGUUUUCAUGA